GGUUAAGUGACUAAGCGUACACGGUGGAUGCCUAGGCAGUCAGAGGCGAUGAAGGGCGUGCUAAUCUGCGAAAAGCGUCGGUAAGGUGAUAUGAACCGUUACAACCGGCGAUACCCGAAUGGGGAAACCCAGUGUGUUUCGACACACUAUCAUGUCAUGAAUACAUAGUGGCAUGAGGCGAACCGGGGGAACUGAAACAUCUAAGUACCCCGAGGAAAAGAAAUCAACCGAGAUUCCCCCAGUAGCGGCGAGCGAACGGGGAGGAGCCCAGAACCUGAAUCGGCUUGUGUGUUAGUGGAAGCGUCUGGAAAGUCGCGCAGCAAAGGGUGAUAGCCCCGUACACUAAAAUGCACAGGUCGUGAGUUCGAUGAGUAGGGCGGGACACGUGACAUCCUGUCUGAAUAUGGGGGGACCAUCCUCCAAGGCUAAAUACUCCUGACUGACCGAUAGUGAACCAGUACCGUGAGGGAAAGGCGAAAAGAACCCCGGCGAGGGGAGUGAAAUAGAACCUGAAACCGUGUACGUACAAGCAGUGGGAGCACCUUCGUGGUGUGACUGCGUACCUUUUGUAUAAUGGGUCAGCGACUUAUAUUUUGUAGCAAGGUUAACCGUAUAGGGGAGCCGUAGGGAAACCGAGUCUUAACUGGGCGAAUAGUUGCAAGGUAUAGACCCGAAACCCGGUGAUCUAGCCAUGGGCAGGUUGAAGGUUGGGUAACACUAACUGGAGGACCGAACCGACUAAUGUUGAAAAAUUAGCGGAUGACUUGUGGCUGGGGGUGAAAGGCCAAUCAAACCGGGAGAUAGCUGGUUCUCCCCGAAAGCUAUUUAGGUAGCGCCUCGUGAACUCAUCUUCGGGGGUAGAGCACUGUUUCGGCUAGGGGGCCAUCCCGGCUUACCAAACCGAUGCAAACUCCGAAUACCGAAGAAUGUUAUCACGGGAGACACACGGCGGGUGCUAACGUCCGUCGUGAAGAGGGAAACAACCCAGACCGCCAGCUAAGGUCCCAAAGUCAUGGUUAAGUGGGAAACGAUGUGGGAAGGCAUAGACAGCCAGGAUGUUGGCUUAGAAGCAGCCAUCAUUUAAAGAAAGCGUAAUAGCUCACUGGUCGAGUCGGCCUGCGCGGAAGAUGUAACGGGGCUAAACCAUGCACCGAAGCUGCGGCAGCGACGCUUAGGCGUUGUUGGGUAGGGGAGCGUUCUGUAAGCCGUUGAAGGUGGCCUGUGAGGGUUGCUGGAGGUAUCAGAAGUGCGAAUGCUGACAUAAGUAACGAUAAAGCGGGUGAAAAGCCCGCUCGCCGGAAGACCAAGGGUUCCUGUCCAACGUUAAUCGGGGCAGGGUGAGUCGACCCCUAAGGCGAGGCUGAAAAGCGUAGUCGAUGGGAAACAGGUUAAUAUUCCUGUACUUGGUGUUACUGCGAAGGGGGGACGGAGAAGGCUAGGCUAGCCGGGCGACGGUUGUCCCGGUUUAAGCGUGUAGGGGGUGUGACCUGGUAAAUCCGGUUGCAUAUCAACCCUGAGGCGUGAUGACGAUGCACUACGGUGCAGAAGUAGUUGAUGCCCUGCUUCCAGGAAAAGCCUCUAAGCUCUAGGUAACAUUAAAUCGUACCCCAAACCGACACAGGUGGUCAGGUAGAGAAUACCAAGGCGCUUGAGAGAACUCGGGUGAAGGAACUAGGCAAAAUGGUGCCGUAACUUCGGGAGAAGGCACGCUGGCAUGUAGGUGAAGUCCUUCGCGGAUGGAGCUGAAGCCAGUCGAAGAUACCAGCUGGCUGCAACUGUUUAAUAAAAACACAGCACUGUGCAAACACGAAAGUGGACGUAUACGGUGUGACGCCUGCCCGGUGCUGGAAGGUUAAUUGAUGGGGUCAGCCGCAAGGCGAAGCUCUUGAUCGAAGCCCCAGUAAACGGCGGCCGUAACUAUAACGGUCCUAAGGUAGCGAAAUUCCUUGUCGGGUAAGUUCCGACCUGCACGAAUGGCGUAAUGAUGGCCAGGCUGUCUCCACCCGAGACUCAGUGAAAUUGAACUCGCUGUGAAGAUGCAGUGUACCCGCGGCAAGACGGAAAGACCCCGUGAACCUUUACUAUAGCUUGACACUGAACAUUGAGCCUUGAUGUGUAGGAUAGGUGGGAGGCUUUGAAGCGUGGACGCCAGUCUGCGUGGAGCCAUCCUUGAAAUACCACCCUUUAAUGUUUGAUGUUCUAACUCGGCCCCAUAAUCUGGGGUGAGGACAGUGUCUGGUGGGUAGUUUGACUGGGGCGGUCUCCUCCCAAAGAGUAACGGAGGAGCACGAAGGUUAGCUAAUCACGGUCGGACAUCGUGAGGUUAGUGCAAAGGCAUAAGCUAGCUUGACUGCGAGAGUGACGGCUCGAGCAGGUACGAAAGUAGGUCUUAGUGAUCCGGUGGUUCUGAAUGGAAGGGCCAUCGCUCAACGGAUAAAAGGUACUCCGGGGAUAACAGGCUGAUACCGCCCAAGAGUUCAUAUCGACGGCGGUGUUUGGCACCUCGAUGUCGGCUCAUCACAUCCUGGGGCUGAAGUAGGUCCCAAGGGUAUGGCUGUUCGCCAUUUAAAGUGGUACGCGAGCUGGGUUUAGAACGUCGUGAGACAGUUCGGUCCCUAUCUGCCGUGGGCGUUGGAAGAUUGAGAGGGGUUGCUCCUAGUACGAGAGGACCGGAGUGAACGCACCACUGGUGUUCGGGUUGUCAUGCCAAUGGCAUUGCCCGGUAGCUAAGUGCGGAAAAGAUAAGCGCUGAAAGCAUCUAAGCGCGAAACUUGCCUCAAGAUGAGUCUUCCCUGGGCCUUUAAGGUCCCUGAAGGAACGUUUAAGACUAAGACGUUGAUAGGCUGGGUGUGUAAGUGCAGCGAUGCAUUGAGCUAACCAGUACUAAUGAUCCGUGAGGCUUAACCUU
rnacentral:rRNA from 1 species